AUGAGUAUCAUCUGCUGGAACUAUCGAGGCCUGGGGUCGGACUCGAUAGUUGACGAGCUUCGCUGGCUUGUGAAGCUCUACCGACCCUCCCUCCUCUUUCUUUCUGAAACAAAGAUGAGGGAUUCGUGGGUGAGGAAUUUCAUGUGGUCAUUGGGUUUUUCAUGCUGUUAUGCUAUCAACAGUGAGGGGCUCAGUGACGGUCUUGCUUUGUUU
rnacentral:rRNA from 1 species